rnacentral:rRNA from 1 species
AUUGAACGCUGGCGGCAGGCCUAACACAUGCAAGUCGAGCGGAUGACGGGAGCUUGCUCCUUGAUUCAGCGGCGGACGGGUGAGUAAUGCCUAGGAAUCUGCCUGGUAGUGGGGGACAACGGUUCGAAAGGAACGCUAAUACCGCAUACGUCCUACGGGAGAAAGCAGGGGACCUUCGGGCCUUGCGCUAUCAGAUGAGCCUAGGUCGGAUUAGUGAGUUGGUGGGGUAAUGGCUCACCAAGGCGACGAGCCGUAACUGGUCUGAGAGGAUGAUCAGUCACACUGGAACUGAGACACGGUCCAGACUCCUACGGGAGGCAGCAGUGGGGAAUAUUGGACAAUGGGCGAAAGCCUGAUCCAGCCAUGCCGCGUGUGUGAAGAAGGUCUUCGGAUUGUAAAGCACUUUAAGUUGGGAGGAAGGGCAGUAAGCUAAUACCUUGCUGUUUUGACGUUACCGACAGAAUAAGCACCGGCUAACUCUGUGCCAGCCGCCGCCGUAAAAC